rnacentral:lncRNA from 1 species
GUACAAAGCAUUUUCCUUGGUGUAUGCCAUAUUCGAAUGUCUUCUCGACAACCACAUAUACCAAUUUACUUUUUGAGAAUCUCAGAUUUUCCGCAAGCCACAACUCUGCUCUCUGCACUUGUCAUCUCACGGCUUGUCUUGUCUGUUUCAGCAUCCAGCAGAAGACAACAACAAUCUUGACUGUACAGCCUUCGAAUGCCUCGGGCACCAGCUUGUUGCGUCGAGGCAUGUUGGAAUGGAAAGCUAUGGAGAGGCGAUCUCAUGUUAUGGCUUGUAACUAUGUUAUGCCAGCUAUGUACCUUUGAUGAUCUAUUAUGAGCCUGAACAACCACUGUUGAUGCUAAAGUACAAGGUCUUGCGACUGAAGGCGUUCAUGGCGUAGUCGACCCGGAUUUGACCUAUGUCCAUGUUGAAGUGAACCAAAUCCCGGUUUCCCUUGCCGAAGAGCUGGAUUGCCAGAUAUAAUUUAGUGAAUGAUGAGUGAUCAUUGAACAAAAAACAGAGCAGGAUCAUCCGCAAAAAGAAAAAAACAGAGCAGGACGGAAUGAGUAUGGUCAAGUAUAUAUCAUAUCGACGUAUAUAUCAGAUCGACGUAUAUAAGAAUCAAGUGCAACACAUCGUAAUCAUCAUUGGUAUAUUGCACUAAAAGUUUCCUGACCAGGACUGAGCACGCGUCCAAAAGGAUGUUCGAGGACACUACUAGAACUCUUUUCCAAUUCUAUAGUAUGGAGCGCCCAUCAUUAUUAACAGGACAGAUAUGCUGGAGGGAUAGAACAGCUGAUAAGAGAAGUUGUACAAACUGAAAAAGAUGCAAACAACUGAAUUUCACUAGACGCUCACUUCAAACUUGACACUGUGUGGAGUGCUGAUUGCUCAAAUCAGCCGGGAAACAAGAAAAGGUUUGCUUAUGCAGAG